CUGGUCUGGCUGGGCCACCUACCCCACUCUCAGCCCCAGACAUAGGAACUGGUCCUGGGAUGGGAUAUGAUGCAGGCAACCCGACCAGAGUGUUCCUCUGGGAGUUUCUCAUUGGUGCUGAUGGAGAAAACUCUAGAAUCAUUUAGGGCAUGGAGCACAUGCAGCCAUGGAGAUGUGCAACCAUGCUCCUGUCUUGUGAUGAAAGUCCACCACCAGAGAGCAAUUGGGGCUGACGCUGAGAAAGAGGGAGAGGGAAGGAGGCCCGGGCGUCAGCCCCUGCUCCUUAGGGAGCCCCUGGAACUGCUGGUUCCAGCACUUGCCGUGUCACACAGUGAGCUCUCCAGCCUCCUUCCAAUACAUCUCUUUUCCUGUGAGCAGAUUUUGUUGGGUUCUGCCACUCCACAGAGUCCUGAUUAACGUCCUACCCCUUCAGGCCUCAGGGUCUGCAGGACGAGGAAAGCACGUGAACGGGCCAUGGGAGCAAGUGGAGGGGAUCCCCCUAGCCAGCCUUCCCAGUCAGAGACCCUGGGCACCAUUCUCCCCACUGAGGGCAGGACCCUCACUUCCUGCCGUGAGGUCACAGGUCCCUGACAUUCCACAGUAUCCUGGAGACAGAGGCGGGUAGCAGAGGGGCCUUCAGGAGGAGGUCCUCCUCUCCCUCCUUCAGCGGGAGGGAGCAUGGCAGCAAGUAGAGGAAUGCUGGCGCUCUUGGCCCUGCUGCUGUACUGCUGGCAGGAAGCUGAGCUCCAGCCCUUCAGAGUGUUGACAGAUAAGGGCGUUUUCCUUUUACAUCCUACAAUGUCGUUGAAACACUAACAAAGUGAACAGAAGCCUGUCCAUCCGCUAAUGCCCGGCUGCAUCCGAACCCUUCCCGGUGUCAGAGGGUCCUUUCACGGGCGCUGGCUCCAGUCCCACCCGAGCAGAGUCCGAAUGCCUGGGCUCCAUCACCUUGUCCUGACCACGUCCGCGUUGAGGAAUGAUGAGACAGUGGCCAGGGACGGCCUUCCGGGAUGUGACUCGCUGGCAGAGUGGGCAGAAGGUGCCAGAAAGGGGGUGGGGCCUCCACAGCCCCCCUUCCUGCCAGGAAGCUGCCUGCUCAGACCACCUGCUCCCCCUCCGCCUUCCACCUUCCUCAGAGGUCACCGAGGACGGAAGCUCAAGGAAGAGGCCUGACAGGGUGCGCCACCCCAGCUGCCUCGGUUGGACCAGCAGGCCCUGAAGAGUCACCCACAGAUGUGGGGUCUCCUGGGAGCAGGACACGAAGAUGCUGGCCCAGCCCGGUGGUGCGUUCCAUCCUGCCCGUACCAGCCCAGAGCUAACUGGGGGCAGUCCUGCCUCCGUCUGGGUGAGAAGGCAGGCAGUCCCUGGAGCCUGACGAUGUCAUGAAAGAAGCUCACAUUCCCAACUUCUUUUCUUAAGGAAACUUAGUUUUGAGACACUUACCAAGGACAGCGUCCUUUGGGGGCUGGAAGCGCCCGUGGGUCUGUAACAGAUGGGGGACGUGUGGUCCCCAAUGCUGCCUCCCGUCCCUCCAGCCGCUCGCUCCUGUUGAUGGUGGUCCUGCCCCCAGCAUCCUCAGGAACUGCUCCAUGCACGUGGAUUAAAUGGGGGCCCCUGAUGCAGCCCCGAGCCGGCCUCUCCCCUCCCCAGAUCCACUCUCCUCGUCCCCACAGUGAGCACCUUGGGUGACCUUCAGGGACUUCUCCAGCUUUAAAGACAGUUGAGGGCAGUUUCUAAACGGUUCUCUCAAAGGCACAUUGGGUUUCCUUACUCUGCUCUGGGGUCUCCUGCCUGGGUGGGCACUGUGGCCGUGGGCCCCACGGGCUGGCCUGACCAUGAGGAGAGGAGGGAGCAGGAGCCAUGGCCUCGCGAUGGAGGAGCGUACAGCCUUGUUUUCCCCAAAUUCAGCAGGGCAGACGGCAGAGCUCCACAGUGCGCCUUCCCUGGUGGCCGGGAUGUGCACCAGGCACGUACGGAGACAGAGCGGUGACUGUCAUAACGCGGGUGCAGGGCGUUUUAAAGCUGAGGCUGUCAGUAAGAGGCGACAACAGGCAAAACGCGGUACAGCAGCCACACUUGACAAUGCACUUUAAAAACCGUGCAGAUAUUGUAAAACAUAAAUAUUUUUCUGCAUGCGCUGACUGGCUGACUUGCACAAUACUUCCAUUAUAAUUACGGGACAGACACAAAAUGAGAAGAAUAUUUUUAACGAAGUGCUUGCACCACGCAGCUGUACCCGUUCUUAAUGACUCAUUAAUGUCUCCUCCAAAGAGACUGUACUUUUGUUUGCUUCGCUGACGAGGUCAGCACACUGGAAGCAUUGUCAUCGCAGCACAGGCCUUUCCGCAUCUCUCCCUGCAUUGUUCUCAGCCUGUGUGCACAGAUGAGUCGAUUGGUAUGCAGAUUGUCCAUCAUUAAAACCAUUUGAAAAUCAGCCUUGUCGUUGGUUUAGUGCUGGAACUUCAGUGUCUGCAGACGCCACUUGCAUGCUCUGUGCUGCAGCGAGGGGAAGGGGCCCUGCCCAGCCGUCCUUGGGGGCUGCUGUCUUCUCUCUGGUUGGCCUGCUGCUACCGGGGGCUGGGGGAAAAGGCUGACCUUGACCUUGAGUCACGGGGAUGGACCAGGACAUUGCGGCCCUAAGAAAGCAGAGUCGAGUCGGGGGAGUGCCUUCGAGGGUGCAGCCAAGGGGAAAUCAGCACUCAGAGUCAGCACACACUGCCCUGCUCCCAGCGCAGUCAGUUCAGGUCAGUGAGGCCAGGAAGGCUUAAGGUCAGGAGUCCAGGAAUCCCAUGGAGGAUGGACAUCUGGGCCCGGCCCGCUCACCCAUGAGACUCGUGUCUUACCUGCGAUGGCACCACCUGGAAUCGCUCUGCUCAUGAAGGAGGAGAAAGUGGGGUGGCCAGUCUCUCUGGACCCUCCCCUCCCAACAGAGAACCCCAAAGCCGGCAGCAUCCCGCACUGCCUCCAUUUCUCCAGAUCACAUGCCUCCACUUUCAGACACACCCACUGUUGGAACGUGCACACAGGAGGUAGAAGUGUGCUUUUUACAAAAGGACACGCAUGUCCCUCUUCAUUGGCCCUCCUCAGCACUUGUGUGGACACAGUCAUCCUGGGAGCUGGGACGUUUUUACCCUUCCCAAGGGAUGACAGUGAGCGCUGCCCGGGAGCAGGUGUCGGCUCAGAGCACACGGCAAAUGUGUGGUCCAUCCUCCCAGCCACCUGGCCCCACUUUCCACAGGACAGGCCGUCCCGAGAGCUGCGGGCAGGGCUCCUCCCCUAGAGCGGGCUGGGGGCACCGAGAAACCGAAUCUAUUUAGAGAGAAGUCAGCUCAAAUUCAAUGAACAUUGUUAACCUAGUGGGCUCUCUAUUUCCCCUCUAGGUCCAAUUACUGAAAUUCCAUCAAGUUCAAAAACUCAGGAGGAGGUACAUGGAGUGUUGGGUAAGGACCCUCCGCACACCAGACCCCUGGCUGUGUUUGCAGGGCUGGGCGAUUGUCAGGGGGUCUCCCAGGAAAGUUGCACAGGGUGGAGGGAAGUAACUUGGCUUGAGGCUAGAACCCCAUCCCCGUGUCGCAUAGCUUCAGUGCUUACACCUAAGAGUCAAAUUCCCAAGGAAUUAAGAAAGACAGAAUUUUAGCCCAUUAGACCUAAGGAGAGUCUUGGAGCCUCACAUCUCAAGGUGAGGUCUGUGGACCAGCAGCACCUGCAUCACCCGGGAUCUUAUGAGAAAUGCCCGCGUCCAGCCCUACUGGAGGCACAGGCGGGCUGGGAAUCAUCGCUGUAAUCAAGGCUGCCCUAAAGAAAUAUAAUGCAAGACACAGGUGUCAUUUUAAAUUUUCUAGUAGCCAUAUUUUUCUUUAAAAAGGAAAUAAGUGAAAUUAAUUUCAAUAACAUUUAAUUUAGUCCUAUCAUUUCAACAUGUAAAUGAUAUAAAAUUAUUAAUGAGAUAUUUUCAGUCUUUUUAUCUCACUGAGCCUUCAAAAUCCGGUGUGUGCUUCACACUUAGAAGAAACCUCAGUGAGGCCAGCCAUGUUCCGUGUGCGACCACGCUACCAGAGCUCCAGUACCCACAGUUCUGGUCCAGCCCCUCACUUUACAUUUGAGGAAGCUGAGGCCUAGAGGAGUCCCCCGAGCAGAGAGAGGGGGCUCAGGGCACGGGGUCCUGACCCUGCUCACUUCAGGCAUCUGUUCACGGGGUCGCGAGUGGGACUGGGGGUCGCCCUGGGUCUGAGAGGGAGCCCUAGGGAGGUGUGGUGCUGACGCUGCUCUCGAGGCUUAGAAGCCUCAGACAGGAGGUCUCUGAGGACAACGCAGGUGUCCGCCAGGUAAGCGGGCCCUUUCCAGGAGCGCCUCUGUCAGGAGGCUGGGCUUUGCUGCCGUUUCCAAGUCUGGUGUAUGAGAGGCCUCAGAAAAUCCUCUCUGACUGCCGGAUAGAUAGAUAUAGAUAGAUAGAGGGAUAGAUGGAUGAUUGAUAGAUAGAUAUAGAUGGAUGGAUAGACAGAUAGAUAGACUGAUAGAUAUAGAUAUAGGGAUAGAUAGAUAGAUGAUAGAUAGAUGGAUAGAUAGACAUAUAGGUAUAGAUAGACAGAUGGGUAGAUGAUAGAUAUAGAUAGAGAGAGGGAUACAUAGAUUGAUAGAUAUAGAUAGAUAGAUGAUAGAUAGAUAGAUAUAGAUAGAUAGAUUACAUUAAUGAGUGAAUGAACAAAUGAAUGCAUGUUCGCAGUUCACUCUGGGGCUAACACCAUCCGCUCAUCUAAGCAGAUCCUGUCUCAGAAUCAGAAGACGUGGUUCCCAGGCCUGCAGGUGCCUUAAUCUCCCUGAACCAGGUCUGGUCUGUAAAAUGAGAUGAUGACGUCGUCUCUGUGUGAGGUUCAGGGCUUGGAGAGAACUUGGUCCCACUGAGGGCCCUGUGGAGGUAUGAGCUUCAGCAGAGUCAGACGCCCUAAAAAUAUUCUGUGCUGGUUAGGUAAAACGUGCAGGAACUCGAAGGCCACCCCACUAGUCAGUGAACUGCCCCAGGCAAGCAUCCAGCUCCUCCAGGUCAGGGAGUGGCUGUGACGAGGACUCACGCCUCUCCUGGCGGGUCUGACGCGUACUGUGUUGGGAGAAUUACAGUCCUGACACAGCUCCCUCUCCAUCCGAAGCCCCAACAACCUUUGGAAAAGAUGAAAUUCUAGUCCAAGAGAUGCUGGAUCACAGUAAAUCAUCAGCGUCUACAACACAAGUGACCGAAGCAACGUUAUCAACAAGAUUAUUCAAGGAAAAAGUAAAGAAGAAAUCAAAUAAAAAUCAAAAUGAAAAACUAUCAGUUCUGGGCAAAACCCUUCAAACUGUGGGAAGAUCUUCAGGACAUUCUUUCCAGUAAAUGGAAGAGGAGGAGCAUGGCUCAGAAGAGGCGCAGAGCGGUCAGCACGGCCGCCAGCUCCGAGGGGCUCCCUACAGCAGGAAACCCACCCACCCACCCCACCCUCAGGAAUAAAGGACUUAUGUAGACACACAG
rnacentral:lncRNA from 1 species